UGAGCACUGAGGCAGAGCCAGACGGUCACUUUGGAAAAUAAGCUCCGGAUACCCACACUCCAAGAGAAGGACUGAAAAAAGCUGAAUCAAAUACAGACGCUCAGAAAAGAAGUGGGCAGUGGUGUAAUGCAAGUCUUGGACUCCCCACGGGAAUCGUGGUCUUUUCAGAAAAAUGUCAACCACAUACACCGCCGUUCAAAAGUUUGGGCUCGAUAGGACAGUGGAGUUGGACAGGAAGCGAAGUGGGAGAGAGAGGAAGGGGUGGCUCAGGAAAGGUCCACAAGCUGGGAUUCAAACUCAGGUUGCCUGCAGUGCAAUGCUGCUAUAUGUCGGCGGGCUAACCACAAGGCUAUUGGUGCCAACUGCCCUGUGACUUUUAUUAAUAAAGUAGCCUAGUUAUUGGAUCGCUCCAUUAUAUUUCUCAGUAACGAAGUGGUAAAAUUGCUGUAUUUGAAGUAACUAAACAGUAACUAAACUAGUCAUUGUUUGUAGAG